AUACGUAGGGGGCAAGCGUUGUCCGGAAUUAUUGGGCGUAAAGGGCGCGCAGGCGGCCGAUUAAGUCGGGUGUGUAAGGCCACGGCUCAACCAUGGAGUUGCAUCCGAAACUGGUCGGCUUGAGUUCAGGAGAGGAGAGUGGAAUUCCCGGUGUAGCGGUGGAAUGCGUAGAGAUCGGGAGGAACACCAGUGGCGAAGGCGGCUCUCUGGCCUGACACUGACGCUGAGGCGCGAAAGCGUGGGUAGCGAACAGGAUUAGAUACCCUGGUAGUCCACGCCGUAAACGAUGAGUGCUAGGUGUUGGGGGCUUCCACGCCCUCUGUGCCGAAGGAAACCCAAUAAGCACUCCGCCUGGGGAGUACGGCCGCAAGGCUGAA
rnacentral:rRNA from 1 species